UCAGCCUCCCGAGUAGCUGGGAUUAUAGAUGCCCACUACCACACCCAGGUGCUGAGCAAUGCAGAAUGGCCCCCUCAUCAUAGCCCCAUGGGACACAGCCUGGUGUGGCGUGAGGAGCAUGAGGCGUGCAGUCAGCAUGGAUUUCAACCUGGACCUACAGGAGCUGUGAGGCCUCAGUAAGUGAUGUCCAGCAGUAAGCAGCUCAGGCUGGUUCUGCAGCUCCAUGACCAUCAGGGACUAGACUCCUUCUAACCAAUGCCCUCCAUCUUCCACACAUGGCUUCCACCUCAGGACCCAAGAUGGCUGUUCAUAUCCACACUCCAGAAACUGAAGAAGGAAGAAACAGAGACCAGCUUUUCUCUCCAAGGACACUGCUAUCAUCUGAACACGUUCCCCUGAAACUCAUACGUUGAAACUUAAUCACCAAUGCCACAGUAUUAGUAGGUGGUGCUUUUAGGAGGUGAUUAAGUCAUGAGGGCGGAGCCUUCAUGAAUGAGAUUAGUACCCUUAUCAAAAAGGCGCAAGGGAGCUGUUUUCCCUUUCACCACAUGAGGACGCAGCGAGAAGGCGCCAUCUUGGAAGCAGAAAGCAGGCCCUCACCAGAUACUGAAUCUGCUGGUACCUUCAUUUUGGACUUCCCAGUCUCCAGAACUGUGAGCAAUAAAUUUCCAUUGUUUGUAAAUUACUCAGUCUAAGGUAAUUUUGUUAUAGCAGCAGGAACAGUCUAAGAGAGACACUUCCUGGAGUUCACACGCAUCUCUUCUGCUUAUAUCCUGCUAGCCAGAAUGUAGUCCCAUGACCACUGGGAAAUAGGUUAUUUAUCUAAGUAAGGGUUCUGUUACUAUGGCAAAAGGGGAGAAGAGAUAUUGGGGAGCAACUGGUAUCUCUACCACAUCACAAACAUCUUUCCAGUGUAUAUAGUUUUGUAUCCUGGUUUCUUAUUAUUUUGUUGAACAUUUCCCCAUAUCAUUAAAUAUUCUUUGAAAUUCUUUU